GAUGAACGCUGGCGGCGUGCCUAAUACAUGCAAGUCGAGCGAAUGGAUUAAGAGCUUGCUCUUAUGAAGUUAGCGGCGGACGGGUGAGUAACACGUGGGUAACCUGCCCAUAAGACUGGGAUAACUCCGGGAAACCGGGGCUAAUACCGGAUAACAUUUUGAACCGCAUGGUUCGAAAUUGAAAGGCGGCUUCGGCUGUCACUUAUGGAUGGACCCGCGUCGCAUUAGCUAGUUGGUGAGGUAACGGCUCACCAAGGCAACGAUGCGUAGCCGACCUGAGAGGGUGAUCGGCCACACGGGGACUGAGACACGGCCCAGACUCCUACGGGAGGCAGCAGAAGGGAAUCUUCCGCAAUGGACAAAGUCUGACGGAGCAACGCCGCGUGAGUGAUGAAGGCUUUCGGGUCGUAAAACUCUGUUGUUAGGGAAGAACAAGUGCUAGUUGAAUAAGCUGGCACCUUGACGGUACCUAACCAGAAAGCCACGGCUAACUACGUGCCAGCCGCCGCAGUAA
rnacentral:rRNA from 1 species